rnacentral:lncRNA from 1 species
UCAAAAUUUUGAUAAUAAAAAUUUGAAAACCAACCGAUCGUCCCUAAAGCAAGUGGCAAAAGACUAGGUGAUUGAUAUCAGAGACCUAAGUUUGAAUCCUAGUUGAUUCACAUUUCUAGCUAAGUUUAUUUCUAAAUGAAAUAAACAAAGCGGGUAGCGUGCUCCCUAUCUCUCAAAACCAAAAAAAAAAAUUGAAAACCAAAAUCAAAUUUGUUCUUUUU